UAAAUUUGGGACUGCAGAUUUAAACUGUAACGGUUCCCUCCAUGGUUCUGACCCGUUCAGAGCAGCCAUUCUUAUCGAAACGUAGUCUUUUCGUUAGACCCUGCAAAGAGAUCAAGUGUAAAUCUUUCCCAGCAUCCUGCUCUGACCUCUGACCUCUGUGCUGUGGUUGCAGACGGCAGCGAUCCUGUGCAGCCUGACACGGUGGGACGGGACGUCCUGCUGGUGGCGCUCUUCCUCACUGGGAACCUGUCCUUCCUCAUCGCCCUGCUGGCUGGAAUAGGACAGGCGGUGCAUUCCUAGCAUCUGGGUCUGCUCAGCUCUCACUCUCAGGGCUCCUUCUGUUCAUCACGUUCAGCGGUGAUGCAGAGAUUAUAGUCCGUUCUGAUCCAGCUGAGGAUAAGUUACAUGUUUGUUCUAAAGCGGAGAAACUUCAGCGCAUUAAAGUCUGAGUUAGAACCAGCUGUUUGUUUAUGCAGCCAAAUAUCCCAAAAUAAAGAAAAACAACCCAAAA